CAGAGCCCACUGUGGGCAGCUCUAAAACAAGAAACAUUGUUUUCUUUUUCCCGGAUUUUCUCUACAACCAAACGGAGAGUUGAUCUUCUCUGGAUAAAAAUUUGAAUAUUCAUGUGUAACUGUAAAUGAGGUCAAUCAAAGAUGGGUUUCGAUUUCACGCCCACGCCAUAAAAAACGGCAUCACAUCCACCGUCUUCACAUCAAAUCAACUCAUUCAUCUGUACUCCAAACACGGUUUUUUGGCAGAAGCCCAUAAGUUGUUCGAUGAAAUGCCUGAGCGAAAUGUUUUCACUUGGAAUGCCAUAAUUUGGGCUUAUAUAAAAACCCAGAACUUGAAACAAGCGCGGGAGCUAUUUGACUCUGCUCCAAGCAAAGAUUUGGUGACUUACAAUUCAAUGUUAUCGGGUUAUAUAAACACUGAUGGAUAUGAGACUAAUGCGCUUAAAUUAUUCAUUGAAAUGCAAUCAUUGAAUGAUGAAACUCGAAUUGAUGAGUUUUCUUUGACGAGGAUGCUUAACUUGUCCGCAAAGUUAUCCAUGGAGUCUUAUGGGAAGCAACUGCACUCAUAUAUGGUGAAAACUGCAAACAAUAUAAGUGGGUUUGCUGUGAGCUCUCUUAUUGACAUGUAUUCCAAGUGUGGGUGUUUCCGUGAAGUAUGCCAAGUGUUUGAUGGAUGUGCUGGGGUGCUUGAUUUGGUUUCAAAGAAUGCAAUGGUGGCAGCUUGUUGCAGAGAAGGUGAGUUGGAAAUGGGCGUGAAUUUAUUUUGGAGAGACCUGGAGUUGAAUGAUGUGGUGUCUUGGAACACAUUGAUUUCAGGGUAUGUUCAGAAUGGUUGUGAGGAGGAUGCACUGAAGUUGUUUGUUCAUAUGGAGGAGAAUGAAGUGAGAUGGAAUGAGCACACUAUCGCGGGUCUUUUGAGUGCUUGUGCUGGUUUAAGGAGUUUGAAGCUUGGGAAGGAAGUGCAUGGUUGGGUUUUGAAAUAUGAGUUGGGUUUCAACCCAUUCAUAAGCAGUGGCCUUGUUGAUGUCUAUUGCAAGUGUGGUAAUAUGAAGUAUGCAGAGUUAGUUUAUGCGACAAUUGGGACUGGGAAUGCCUUUUCUAUCACUUCAAUGAUUGUGGGGCAUUCCUCUCAAGGCAACAUGGGAGAAGCUCGGAGGCUUUUUGAUUCUUUAACUGAGAAGAGUUCUAUCAUCUGGACAGCUUUGUUUACUGGGUAUGUCAAAUCACAGCAAUGUGAAGCUGUGUUUGAACUUUUGAGUGAGUUCAGAGUGAAGGAAGCAAUGGUUCCAGAUGCUUUGAUCCUCAUCAGUGUACUGGGUGCAUGUGCAAUACAAGCUGCUCUUAAUCCUGGAAAGCAGAUUCAUGCUUAUGUUCUAAGAAUUGGGAUUGAACUAGAUGAGAAGUUGGUCAGUGCUAUGGUUGAUAUGUAUUCAAAAUCUGGGAAUAUAAAAUAUGCAGAAAAGAUCUUCCAAAGAGUUACUAACAGAGAUGCAGUCAUUUACAAUAUAAUGACAGCUGGGUAUGCACACCAUGGGCAUGAGAAUCAAGCUAUCCAGCAAUUUGAGGAAAUGUUGGAGAGAGGUGUUAGACCUGAUGCAGUCACCUUUGUUGCACUUCUAUCAGCUUGCCGCCAUUGUGGUUUAGUAGAACUAGGGGAGAAGUAUUUUGCUUCCAUGACAGAUUACAAUAUAUUGCCUGAAAUUGAUCACUAUGCAUGUAUGAUUGAUUUGUAUGGGAGGGCUAACCAACUAGAGAAGGCAGUAGCAUUCAUGAAAAGAAUUCCUAUAGAGCCAGAUGCUGUAAUAUUGGGGGCAUUUUUGAAUGCUUGCAGGAUAAACAGGAAUACAAAACUAGCAAGAGAGGCAGAAGAGAAGAUAUUGAGAAUUGAAGGUGAUAAUGGGGCUCGAUAUGUGCAGUUAGCUAAUGUCUAUGCUGCAGAAGGGAAAUGGGUUGAGAUGGGGAGAAUAAGGAGGAAGAUGAGAGAGAAUGAGAUCAAGAAGUUUGCUGGUUGCAGUUGGGUAUAUGUGGAAAACAGAGUUCAUAUCUUCACAUCUGGUGAUAGUUCUCACUCAAGUGCAGAGGCUAUAUAUUCUAUUUUACUCAUCUUGACUGCAGAACUAAAUGAUACUGCCCGGUAGAAAAUUAAAACCAGGAUGGUUUGUUAACAGGGUAUUCUGAAUAUCAGUUUGCUAAAUAAAAGGAUUUAGGAUACUUUCUAAACUAAGGUUCCAAGUGGAUAUCCAGUCAGGGAGGCUUGCUAUGCUAGAAGGUUGCAACUGUGGGACUGUUGUUGAUUUAUGGAGAAAGCGAGCAUUUGGAGAAGAUAAUAAUGGAAACCAGCUUGAUCAAAGACAAACAGGAGGAAUGAAAGUCAUAGCACUCAAGAGGAAACCUUAUCCUGAUCUUUUAUCACAGAGGAGAGAUGAGUAAUCAACCUUUCAUCUUCUAGUUCAAUCGGUGCAUGUAUAAUUCCAUCUCUACUAUGCUGCUUUUUCCAGAGUGAAUUUGCAAGUGUUAAGUUAUCCCACCAUGCUGAUCAUCUACAAUUCUUAUCAGCAUCAUCACCAUCACAUAGAAUGAAACAUAAUUUUGGGUGAUUAAAAUACACAAACUAGAAUGUGUGGUUUUUGUUUUUUCAUUAUGUGCAGACUACAGAUAAUCAAGAAUGGCAGGUUUCAAGGGAUAAUACAAUCGAAGAACCAGCAACAUUUGGAACAACAAAGAGAUGCGAAGUCCAAACAGGCCUUGGAUUCGAUAUGGACAAGGUUUAUGGGCCUGGAACCAGGCCCAAACCCGACGUUGAUAAGUGUUUCGAUGACAAGCUUGUUACAGAAGGAUUGAAAAAUGAUCCGACUAUAAAGCGAAAAAGGAACAAAAUUCAAAUUUUCUUGUGGACACGUACUCCUUUACAGUUGGAUAUCCUCGACUAUUGGGAACCGUACUGUAACGAGACCAUAUCCUUUUUUAUUCAAACGCGAAAUCAUCUUCUUCAAAAUGUGAAUCUGGAAUUUUAGGGUUUUCUUCGCAAAUCCCCGUUAU